CUAAGAAAGGUUUGUUUUUGUUGCCAUGGAAACUGUUGCUACUACGGCGUAUCCAUGGUUUUCAAAGACGUGCUCAUGACUAUUGUGAUGCUGAGCUAUUUUUGAUUCCUCUAUAACUUUAUAUUAGUUCUCAUUAGAGGCUGUUUGCACUGCAAGAGGCUCUCAGCUGUUCAGGGCUGAAAAAAUAAAAACAAAAGGCUUUUGUCAUCAACCUUUUAAACAAGACUUGCUGGAGUUGUGCCCAUAACACCACCUGCAAUAAGAUGGAGUAAUAUAGGAACAUCAGGUGAGAUUGAUUGGGGUUCUUGGCAUUAAGAAGUAUUGCAGCAGCUGGUUAGUCCGCAGCUUUUACAUGAAAGUCGCCGAUUAUGCAGUUGUAGUGACAGGGGCAGGCUUGUGAAGUUUUACAGCAUCCUGUUAAACAAAAGCUUCUCCCCUGGCAGCAUCAUUCGAACAGAUGCUCCAAUAACUUAUUGAUAACAGCCUCGAUCUCUUUGCUGUCUCGCGAACAUAACACUCUAAUAAUAACAGAUAAGAUGCCAAAUUUGGGGCAGCGCAUCGUGCUGAGAGGUAAAGCAGCCGUCUGGGGUUCAAUUCCUGAUCUGAUAUAUUCAUUCCCAACACGUCUUCCUGCCUCAUUUCCUGUCUAGAGUCACUUAAGACAACUGGAGGCACAUAAAACGUUUCAGUGGUUGAGGCUACAGUUUCUGACAGAUCAUGGAUUCUUCAAAGAGGGCAGUGUUGUUGUAUUCAAGCUGCAUGACAACAUCGCAAGGUUAAGUAAUUUACAGCUUAUUUGGUUCGCACUCUGUACGACCCGACCUGUUCUUGAAUCAACGAAGAAGAAAAACCCAGAAGUGAGGAGACGCUCACCUGAGAACGAGAGCGUGUUAAUUCAUCACGCUUUUCAUGAAAACGAUCAACAAGCAGGCGGAAGAUAAUGAGGCCGUUUUCACCAUCUAUGCACCUGCGGGACAGACUGGAUCUUUUCCAUCAACACAGGCAGCGCCACAGGGACCGUUGUUUGGUAAUCUGGAAGAGAGAAGUCUUUCAGAAACCAAACCGACGGAAUAAACACAAACGGGAAGAGAAACGGAUCUGCGUCAGAUGUCUGUUGUCGCCAAUGUUUGCCUGAGCUUCCAACCCCUGCAGUGCUACUGAGACCCUCCACUUCUACAAACCUCCACCGUUUUUCAUUUAUCCAACCAUUGUGGCGAAUGUGUCUGCAUGUAGGAACAGACAGUAGUAACAUUUGUAGAGCAGUUUUCUGCUAAUCGCCUGUAAGGAUGCCUCUCAUAUUACCCAUGCUGCGGUGCAGAGGUCUCAAAGCAUUCGCUAGCUCCACUAAAACAGAGAUUUCGAACAUUUAUUUUAGUGGGUCAUUUGUUAGAACAGCCUACCUGACCAUCUGUUGCUGCCUCUGCUUCUAAUAUGUUGCCAUCUUGUGGCCAAUUUUCAAUCUUAACAGGUGGACUGAUGAUAAGAUUUCAA